ACUUCUAUUUUGAACCAACUCCUGGGCCUCCUUGGGAAAUAAUUUUCUCACUACUAUGUCAGAAGUUAUAUAAGGUUAGUGAAAACUCCUUUCAAGCACUAUUAUACAUUUUAAAUAUUUUUUCUUAAG